CUUUCGGAGCUGUGCGGCACGCUGAGCAGGAAUGGCAAUGUGGACCUCUGUGAUGGGACAUCUUGUGGGAUCUCACAGCCAGUUCUGUGGCAAAGGAGGAUGAAGGCUUACGAGGACUCGUCAGGAAGCUGGAUAACAGAACAAGUGCAAUGUAAGUAAUUUUGUGUGUGCAUGUGGUCCCAUUACAAGGAAUACCCAAUGGCAAAUGAGCACUAAAGAUCCCUCAACACACACAUUGAAUGUAUUGUUCCCUGAGAGCAAUUGUAGAUAGAGGAGUGGGUGGGAAGUCUGAAGUCAGGGCAUUGUUUCUGCCUAUCUGAGUAGGCUGGUUUUUGAUAUUUGUGGGAGCUAGUGGUCGUUAACUCAUUUACCCCCUAUUUGGUGGACUCUGGUUCCCCCAUCUUAAGUGCUGAGUCAGGGGCCUAACCGGGCAGCUUUAACUAUUUGUUUGUUGUAGGUGCUAGAAGACCAGAAAAUGAAAUGGUGGAGUUUGAGGCUGGAUAGACAGUUUGAAAGGUAAGUAUUGAAAAACACUUGAAUUUGGGUCAGUACAAAGGGACAUGCAGAGACUUUGAAUCAUCAAAACUCCAGCAUGCAUUGUCCUACGGAUGUUUAGAUAGGUGUGUUUUGGAUAACACACGGGGUUCUUGUAAUGAUGUUGAUCAAAUGUCUGAGCUGAAAAUAACUUGUAGACAAUUUUUAACACUGAAGAACCCUGUG
ensembl:processed_transcript Gas5 growth arrest specific 5